CGCCGCCUGGCGGGCCGGAGCCGCCCGCGCGCCUCCUCACGGCCGCCGUAUCGAACACAAACAAAUAAACAAACAGCAAAACACGGAAAAAGGGGGAAAAAAAGUGGUUUCUCCACGCGAGCCUAACUCCAGGAGCUGGAGCUUAGCGGAGGUGGCCACGGGAGCAGACAUACGGUGUUGUCAGCAGCGCCGGCCUGAGAGCGGCCUGUCCGGCGGGGCGGGGAGUGCUUAAGCCUUUUUGGUUCACUCCUUAUGUUUACUCAGAAACCAUGAAAUUGGAGUUAUGGAGGUUGAUAUUAUUCCAAGAAUAAAAAAUGAAAUGCAUGGAAUUAAGGUCUAAGUAAUAUGCCAGAUUUCAUGGAAUUCAUGGUUCUGGACUGUAAAAAUAAAAACAGCAGAGGAACUCCAGACUGCUUUUUAAAGACUGCUUUUUGAAGACAUUUUCCACCGUCUCAGUGGCAGCUGUUGUCACAGGAUUGUUAAGAUUGGAAGAAACCUCUUGAGGUCAUCUGGUUUGGCCAUUCUUAGAAUAAAAAGAUUUUUUUCUUCUCUUUGGAUGGAAUCCCUUGUAUUACAGUUUAUCCUAAGAGUGGGCACCACUGAGAACAGCCUGACUCCCUUUUCUUCAUUCCCUCCCUUCAGAUAUUUAUAUACACUGAUUAGAUCCUCCUGAAGGAGGCUGUGACCCCAUGGGAAGCCCAAGGUGGAGCAGGCUCCUGUCAGGACCUGUGGACCCAUGAAAAGAAGAGCCCACGCUGGAGCAGGUUUGCUGGCAGGACUUGUGACCCCUUGGAGGACCCACACCGUAGCAGUCUGUUCCUGAAGGACUGCAUCCCAUGGGAAGGACCCACACUAGAGCAGUUUGUGAAGAACUGUAGCCUGUGGGAAGGACUUACAUUGGAGAAGUUCACAGAGUUCAUGUCUCUCAUGGGAGGGGCCCUACACUGGAGCAGGGGAAGAGUGUGAAGAAUCCUUCCUGGAGGAGGAAGGAGCAGCGGAGACAACAUGUGAUGAACCGACCACAGCCCCCAUUUCCCCUGCCCCUGAGCCACUGACAGGGAGGAAGUAGAGAAUUUGAGACUAAAGUUAAGUUCAGAAAGAAGGGACGGGGGGGGAAAGUGUUUUAAGAUUUGUUUUUAUUUCUCAUUAUCCUACUCUGAUUUGAUUGGUAAUAAAUGAAACUAAUUGCCUCAAGUCACAUCUGGUUUUCCCAUGAUGGUAACUGCUGAGUGAUCUCUCCCUGUCCUUAUCUUGACCCCUGAGCCUUUUGUUAUAUUUUCUCUCCCCUGUCCAGCUGCAUAAGGGAGUGAUAGAGUGGCUCAGUGGGCACCUGGUAUCCAGCCAAGGUCAACCCACCAUUAUGUGGAGGUAAAAAUCAUGUUGUGGGAGAAGUCUUAGGGAAUGGAGUUUUAAAAAAUGGAGAAAAAAAAUGAAGUGGAGUUCACAGAAUCCUAAUUGUAUAGUCAAAAUUUGAUAUUUCAAUUCAAGUGCCAUAUAAUAAACUCAGAUCUGUUUGCUGCAGAUUUCAAAUCUCAGAAAUCAGCUAUGACUUCUUUAAACCUUUCUUCCUCUCCUUGCAACAAAUUUUAUUUAAUGAAAUCAGGAAUCUAGACUUUUUAAAGCCAGGCAUUCUAGUUCCAUGUAGUAAAAAACCUUAUGAAAUGAAGUAUGAAAUACCUAAUGAAGGAAAAUAUGUGUGCCAAUGAAUUAAAUAUGCUUGUAUAAAACUCUGAUUAUUCUGCAAUGGGCUAUGAGGUGUGUAUGUUACAUGACAAGAAUGCAGCUUUCAGGUUUCUGAGGCAAUAAUCUUUUAAAAGAUUGGAAAGCAGAAUGCACAGAAAUAAAAGUCACGUUUUGUAACUAUUGAA